rnacentral:rRNA from 1 species
UACGUAGGGGGCAAGCGUUGUCCGGAUUUAUUGGGCGUAAAGAGCGUGUAGGCGGUUUGGUAGGUCCGCUGUGAAAACUCGGAGGCUCAGCCUCGAGACGCCGGUGGAAACCAUCAGACUAGAGUCCGGAAGAGGAGAGUGGAAUUCCGUGGAUGUAGCGGUGAAAUGCGCAGAUAUCAGGAGGAACACCGGUGGCGAAGGCGGGUCUCUGGGCCGAUGACUGACGCUGGAGGAGCGAAAGCGUGGGGAGCGAACAGG